CGUAUUUCAUUUGUCAGUACGGACCACUUACCAAAGCUUGAAAUAAAAUACCUGUCCAAGGAAGAAGACAGAGAGUAGACAAGGGCACCAUGGUGUGCGUCAAGGAGACAACCACCUUUCCCAAACUCAGUUGCCUGUUUGUGUAUCUUGAGCCUUUAGGGACAAUGUUCUUUUUCCUUCCUCAUUUAGUGCCAAUAGCAGGUGGGUUGGCGUUUGAUUGAUGUGCCUCAGCUUUCUUCUGGAAAAGCACAUUGGCUCGGCUUCAGCUUCACAUGUAGUUAAGUGAAGAAGAAGAAGAAACGAUAACACGCGGUAUAUAUGUCCAUACUUUAGUCAGUCAAAGUAUUUUUUUUGAAAGUUUUGUUCAGCUAUUGAAUUUAUAAGUCGAACAUAUAUUAUAACACUAAAAGCCUCUUCUGCUGCUCCAUCAAUAAUAGUCCAGAAAUAGCAAGCAAGUGAACAAAAUACAGUGAUAUGUGUGUAGAUUGUCAGGAUUCAUCAUUGCAUAUCAUUUUUCUCUGGAUACUACAUAUGCAAGCGCAUGAUAUUGAUAUGCCAACGUUUCUGAAUAAGAGCCAUAUUUUCAGCUUGCUAAAACUCAAAAAAUACAUAAGCUCAGAAAAUCCAUGAAGGGAAGAAAACUCAGAAAAUACAGAAGUUCUAAAACAUGCAGACUUGUUCACACUAAAUCAGUACCCACCUUUACCCAUCAAUACUACUUGCUUAUUUUGACGAACCGUCAAACCUGUAAGGAUUUGUUUACUUCUAUAAAUUACAGAAAUAACAUUAUGAAAGAUGCAUUUAGGUACAGAGUUAUAGGUAACUAACAUGAAUUGGAUCUUGUAGGCCCCUGUGGCCCUGUAUAUAUCUGUCUCAAGUCUUAACAGCUCCAGCUCUUAGACAAACAUAAAAACAAUGUUAAAUUCAAAUGCCUUAAAAACCACAUGAAUGAAAUUUUGUAUCGACCUGAACAACUAUCAAGUCACACACCAAAAACGUCUAUUACAGGAUAGGAAUUUUGUUGCUUCCCUCCAACCCCAAUUGUAAUCAAAUUUUGACAAAAGAAUGAAUUACCACAGUGAUCAAUCACCUGAAGGACUUGAAAUCAUAGUGAUCAAUCUACAUUCUUCCUCAGGUCUUUACUUUGAAACCCGGUUUGCCAUGCUGCUUACAGAAGAGAAAUGCUAGAAGCAGAAACUUCAGGUCUCUUGCAAGUCCAAAGUCAAACAAAUUCAGAAGUUACUUCCAGUUCAUUUCACUAACUAAGCCAAAACUAAUCAAGGCAACUCACAUGUGGGGAAAUCCUCAAAUUUUUGCAGUCCCAACUUAGAAC
rnacentral:lncRNA from 1 species